rnacentral:rRNA from 1 species
GACGAACGCUGGCGGCGCGCCUAACACAUGCAAGUCGAACGGAGUUAAAGAGACAGAAGUUUUCGGACGGAAGACUUUUAACUUAGUGGCGGACGGGUGAGUAACACGUGAGUAACCUGCCUUUCAGAGGGGGAUAACGUUUGGAAACGAACGCUAAUACCGCAUAACAUCAUUUUGGGCAUCCCGAGAUGAUCAAAGGAGCAAUCUGCUGAGAGAUGGACUCGCGCCUGAUUAGAUAGUUGGUAGGGUAACGGCCUACCAAGUCGACGAUCAGUAGCCGGACUGAGAGGUUGAACGGCCACAUUGGGACUGAGACACGGCCCAG